rnacentral:rRNA from 1 species
UACGAAGGGGGCUAGCGUUGCUCGGAAUUACUGGGCGUAAAGGGCGCGUAGGCGGACAGCUUAGUCAGAGGUGAAAGCCCAGGGCUCAACCUUGGAAUAGCCUUUGAUACUGGAAGUCUUGAGUUCGAGAGAGGUGAGUGGAAUUCCGAGUGUAGAGGUGAAAUUCGUAGAUCUUCGGAGGAACACCAGUGGCGAAGGCGGCUCACUGGCUCGAUACUGACGCUGAGGUGCGAAAGCGUGGGGAGCAAACAGG